UCCCGAAAAGUACAUGCAUGCUGCUUCUAGAGAACAGAGGCACAGACCAGUGAUAUUUCGUUCCAGCUGCUCUGGAACCAACAGCUCCCACAUGAACAUAGAAAGAGGUUUCCAACAGAAAACAAGCAAAACAAAAAAGAGGAAA